rnacentral:rRNA from 1 species
AUUGAACGCUGGCGGCAUGCCUUACACAUGCAAGUCGAACGGCAGCACGGGAGCAAUCCUGGUGGCGAGUGGCGAACGGGUGAGUAAAGUAUCGGAACGUGCCCAGUCGUGGGGGAUAACGUAGCGAAAGUUACGCUAAUACCGCAUACGAUCUAUGGAUGAAAGCGGGGGAUCGCAAGACCUCGCGCGAUUGGAGCGGCCGAUAUCAGAUUAGGUAGUUGGUGGGGUAAAGGCCCACCAAGCCGACGAUCUGUAGCUGGUCUGAGAGGACGACCAGCCACACUGGGACUGCGACACGGCCCAGACUCCUAGGGGAGUCAGCAGUGGGGAAUUUUGGACAAUGGGCGAAAGCCUGAUCCAGCCAUGCCGCGUGCAGGAUGAAGGCCUUCGGGUUGUAAACUGCUUUUGUACGGAACGAAAAGGACUGCCCUAAUACGGUGGUCCCAUGACGGUACCGUAAGAAUAAGCACCGGCUAACUACGUGCCAGCAGCCGCCGUAACAC